GUAUUUUGAAUUAUUUUAUUCAUAAUAGUUUUUCAGACAAAGUGGUUCAAGGUUAUAGGUUGGUGUAGGUGUUUCUCCGAAAAGAAACACAACAUUGCACACAAGGUGAGUACUAUUUUUAAAAAGUGCAGUAGAACACUUAUUAUGAAUGAUCCUUCCGCAGGUUCACCUACGGAAA
rnacentral:misc_RNA from 1 species